rnacentral:rRNA from 1 species
GCAAGUCGAGGGGUAACAGGAAGUGCUUGCACUUCGCUGACGACCGGCGCACGGGUGCGUAACGCGUAUACAAUUUACCUUGUACAGGGGAAUAGCCUUUAGAAAUGAAGAUUAAUGCCCCAUAGUCUAUUUAGAUCACCUGAUUUAGAUAGUAAAGAUUUAUCGGUACAAGAUGAGUAUGCGUUCUAUUAGAUAGUUGGUAAGGUAACGGCUUACCAAGUCAGCGAUAGAUAGGGGGCCUGAGAGGGAGAGC